AUCGGAGUGGGGCUAAGCCAUGCGAGUCGAACGUUUCCCAACUGUGGGAAGCGUGGCGAACGGCUCAGUAACACGUAGCCAACCUAACCUAAGAUGUGAACAACCCCGGGAAACUGGGAUUAAUUCAUGAUAGAUCAAGGCUCCUGGAAUGGGCUUUGGUCCAAAGGGAUGGACAAGCAUGUUUUGCCCAUCUGCUCUAGAUGGGGCUGCGGCCGAUCAGUUGUUGGUGGGGUAAUGGCCCACCAAGCCUAUAACCGGUACGGGCUUUGAAGAAGAGCCCGGAAUGGACACUGAAUAAAGGUCCAAGGCCCUACGGGGCGCACAGCGCGAAAACUUCGCAAUGUGCGAAAGCAUGACGAGGUUACUCCGAGUGCUACUCGCUGAGGGUGGCUUUUCCUGAGUCUAAAACAGCUUGGGGAACUAAGGGGACGGGUAAAGUCUGGUGUCAGCCGCCGCGGUAAUACCAGCUCCUCGAGUGGUCGGGAC
rnacentral:rRNA from 1 species